UACGAAAAAUCAGCAGCUUCAAUAUAGACUAUAUUAGUCUAUUGAUGAUAAUAUACACUAUAGAUAGUAUCGGGGUACGUUUUUGAUUGGAAUAAUAAAAAAAUAGUUGAUAGUUAUCCGUGUUUGCAUUUUUAAGUCUCGUCUAUUAACUAUUGAUUGGUGUUAAAAUUACUUCGCAAAGUGAUGCAAAAAGUACGUUCUUAAUUAAUAUUGAAAAUAUUUACCGCAUA